GACGAACGCUGGCGGCGUGCUUAACACAUGCAAGUCGAACGAUGAAGCCGGAGCUUGCUCUGGUGAAUUAGUGGCGAACGGGUGAGUAACACGUGAGUAACCUGCCCUUGACUCUGGGAUAACUGCUAGAAAUGGUAGCUAAUACCGGAUACGACCCUCGGAGGCAUCUCCAGGGGGUGGAAAGAAUUUCGGUCAAGGAUGGACUCGCGGCCUAACAGCUAGUUGGUGAGGUAAUGGCUCACAAAGGCGACGACGGGUAGCCGGCCUGAGAGGGUGACCGGCCACACUGGGACUGAGACACGGCCCAGAAUCCUACGGGAGGCAGCAGUGGGGAAUAUUGCACAAUGGGCGCAAGCCUGAUGCAGCAACGCCGCGUGAGGGAUGACGGCCUUCGGGUUGUAAGCCUCUUUUAGUAGGGAAGAAGCGAAAGUGACGGUACCUGCAGAAAAAGCACCGGCUAGCUACGUGCCAGCAGCCGCGGUAA
rnacentral:rRNA from 1 species